UGUGGUUGGAAGAUGCCUGUGUUGUUGCUGCUGUGCUAACUGAGGGGAUCGCUUGCGCUUGGUGCCUGUCGGAGUUUGUUGUUGUAGCUUAGUGUGCUCACUGAACCCUUGCUGCCUAUGCCGGUGAUGCCGUGGCGGAGGUGAUCGGGUUGGUUGUGCAGAUAUUGAUGGCUGCUGCUGAAUGAUCCCCGGCUGCCCUUGUCGUUGUUGCCCUGGCUGAGGGAAACUCAUUGGCAGACUUUGUUGUUGUUUUUGUCGUGGUUUGCGGAGCUGCUCUGCUGAAACUAGUUGCUGCUGUUCAAUGAUCUCUUGCUGCCUUUGUCGUUGAUAGCGUGGCGGAAGAGAUUUAAUUGGUUGUGCAGGGAUGAUUCGCUGUUUCGUUGUUGAUGAGGCUUCUGCCUGGCUCUGCUGCUGCCGCUCCAUACUCCGCAACUGUGCAAAACUUCGUACAGUUGUUCGCUUAGUAAUCACUUGCUGCCUUUGUUUUUGACGUCGUGGCAGGGGCGACCGAAUUGGAUUUGCAGAAUUAACUAGCUGCAUUUUUGCUGGUGGGCCUUCUGCCUGGCUCUGUUGCUGUUGCUCAGUGUUCCUCGGCUGCCUUUGUCGUUUGUGUCUUGGCAGAGAGAAACUCAUUCGCUGGCUUUGUUGUUGCUGUUGGCAUAAAUGGAGGAGCCCCUCUGCCAAUUGCUGCUGUUUAAUGAUAUCUUGCUGCCUUUGUCGUUGGUGCCAUGGCGGAAGAGAUUGAACAGAAAUAACUCGCUGUGACGUUGAUGGUGGGCCAUCCGCCCGGAUCUGCUGCUGCUGCUCAGUGUUCCCCGGGUGCUCUUGUCGUUGUUGUCCUGGCUGAGGGAAACUCAUUGGCUGGCUUUGAUGUUGCUGUUGCCAUGGCUGGAGGAGCUGCUCUUGCAGCUUUUGCCGUUGAUGCCGUGGCAAAGGCGAUUGAAUUGGUAGCGCAGAAUUAGCUCGCUGCGCUGUUGUUGAUGAGGCUUCCGCCCGGCUCUGCUGCUGUUUAAUAUUCUCCGGCUGCCCUUGUCUUUGUUGUCCUGGUGAGUCGAAGGCGGCUCUGCAGG